CUCCAGUCUGGCCAACAGAGCAAGACUCUGUCUCAAAACAACAACUAAAAAGAAAGCACAUAAGUACAUUGGGUAGCUCACUGAGUUGCCACCAAGAGUAGGGAACCAGGGUUAGAAAAUGGGCAGGAACAAAGGGAAGGUGAACAGCCAGAACCACAGGUAAAAACCAACCUCAGAACUAGACUGUUGAGGAUACUGCCACUCUCACUGCUGCACACUGGAUAUUCUGUCCAGGUCUGAUUGCUUGCAGGUCAUCACCCACAAAAAUCCACCACUGAAUUCUACCAAUGUUAAGUGUGAGACCAUAAGGUACAACCUCCAAUACUUACGCAUGAGAAAAACAAAGUUCAGAUGAAUCCUGGGCCAGUGUGGUUUCUGAUGCACUGUACUGCCUCUUACUGAAA
rnacentral:lncRNA from 1 species